rnacentral:snRNA from 13 species
AUAUUUACCUGACAGGGGAGAUGCCAUGAUCACGAAGGUGGUUUUCCCAGGGUAAGGGUCAUCCAUUGCACUCCGGAUGUGCUGACCCCUGUGAUUUCCCCAAAUGUGGGAAACUCGACUGCAUAAUUUGUGGUAGUGGGGGACUGCGUUUGUACUUUCCCCUG